rnacentral:rRNA from 1 species
CCACUCCCGGCACGGGGANGUAGUGACGAAAAAUAACGAUACGGGACUCAUCCGAGGCCCCGUAAUCGGAAUGAGUACACUCUAAACCCUUUAACGAGGAUCAAUUGGAGGGCAAGUCUGGUGCCAGCAGCCGCGGUAAUUCCAGCUCCAAUAGCGUAUAUUAAAGUUGUUGCGGUUAAAAAGCUCGUAGUCGAAUCUGUGUCUCGCGCCGCCGGUUCAUCGCUCGCGGUGUUUAACUGGCGUGCCGCGGGACGUCCUGCCGGUGGGCUUAGCCUCUCGGGGCGGCCCAACUACGAAUCCCACCGCGGUGCUCUUCGCUGAGUGUCGAGGUGGGCCGGCACGUUUACUUUGAACAAAUUAGAGUGCUUAAAGCAGGCUCAAACUUCGCCUGAAUAUUCUGUGCAUGGAAUAAUGGAAUAGGACCUCGGUUCUAUUUUGUUGGUUUUCGGAACCCCGAGGUAAUGAUUAAUAGGAACGGAUGGGGGCAUUCGUAUUGCGACGUUAGAGGUGAAAUUCUUGGAUCGUCGCAAGACGGACAGAAGCGAAAGCAUUUGCCAAAAACGUUUUCAUUGAUCAAGAACGAAAGUUAGAGGUUCGAAGGCGAUCAGAUACCGCCCUAGUUCUAACCAUAAACGAUGCCAGCUAGCGAUCCGCCGACGUUCCUCCGAUGACUCGGCGGGCAGCUUCCGGGAAACCAAAGCUUUUGGGUUCCGGGGGAAGUAUGGUUGCAAAGCUGAAACUUAAAGGAAUUGACGGAAGGGCACCACCAGGAGUGGAGCCUGCGGCUUAAUUUGACUCAACACGGGAAACCUCACCAGGCCCGGACACCGGAAGGAUUGACAGAUUGAGAGCUCUUUCUUGAUUCGGUGGGUGGUGGUGCAUGGCCGUUCUUAGUUGGUGGAGCGAUUUGUCUGGUUAAUUCCGAUAACGAACGAGACUCUAGCCUGCUAACUAGGCGUAUUUUCGACAUCUCAAAGGCCCCACGGCCCGGCGCUCUCGCGUCGCGGUCGCGCGCGGUUUUUACUGUCGGCGUACAAUCAAUUCUUCUUAGAGGGACAGGCGGCUUCUAGCCGCACGAGAUUGAGCAAUAACAGGUCUGUGAUGCCCUUAGAUGUUCUGGGCCGCACGCGCGCUACACUGAAGGAAUCAGCGUGUCCUCCCUGGCCGAGAGGCCCGGGUAACCCGCUGAACCUCCUUCGUGCUAGGGAUUGGGGCUUGCAAUUGUUCCCCAUGAACGAGGAAUUCCCAGUAAGCGCGAGUCAUAAGCUCGCGUUGAUUACGUCCCUGCCCUUUGUACACACCGCCCGUCGCUACUACCGAUUGAAUGAUUUAGUGAGGUCUUCGGACCGGUACGCGGCGGCGCUCCCGCGUCGCCGAUGUUGCUGGGAAGAUGACCAAA